ensembl:lncRNA
CCUAACUGCGUGUGUAUGUUUCUGUGAGUGUGAUCAAUCUUCCAUGAUUCCGUUUAUUUUGAGAUCAAACCCACUCCACCAGUGAUCUAGUUUGUUAUGAUGUCAGAGCUGAAGUGUAACGAUGACGCUGAAUGAAGUGAUGAAAACAGGAGUGUUGUCUCUGGCAGCCCCUGAUGUACUGGCUCAGAAACCCUACAGCAAGGCAGUGGACUGAUGGUCCAUCGGAGUCAUUGUUCUGUAACUUCUUCUUUCAUGUUAGCUCCGAGGUUUCUCCUGGCACUGCUGAGAGGACGGCCUGCUCUUAUGAUGCCUUAUUUAUCCUUCCUUCAUCUUUCCGCUGAGCUAAAGACUAUCGUCCACCUGAUAGAGAAGGACCCAAGGAUAUGCUACACAGGUGACCAGGCUCUUCAGCAGUCCUGGUACAGUGCACGCACACACACACCGUCUUGCACCUAUUCUUGUGCCCCACCCCAACAGAGCCUGGCCCUCAUGUCUCUCUCCCUCCCUCAGGAUUGCUGGAGACACAGCCCUGGAUAAGAACAUCCGUGAAUCUGUCAGCGCCAAGUGACAGGUGGGUUACUUUUCCUGCAUUCUUCUGCUAUCAACUAUUCUAACUUCAUGUAACAUUUUGUGACCUUUAUGGUCCACAAUGGUAUUUUACAGUGAGGGUCCCUUUACAACUGGUUUCUAGAGGGUUUAAAAUAGUUUAUUUGUGGUUAAUUAAUCAUUUAUAUAUUUGUACGUCUGAUGGGAAUGUGUUUGAUCCUGCAGCAAGCAUUUAAUGCCACAGCUGUGGUCCGUUACGAGGCUUCUCCAGGUGGCUCCCAGCCAGACCACCCUGCCCAGCCCCUGUAGAAGUCACCUUCUGCUGGCUGAGGCUAAAGAAUACACAGGUCAAUGGUGGGGAGGAGGGAAGAGGGAAUCGAUGAUGCCAACAGAGAAGGUCACUUGCACUAGAUUGGGGAGAGUGAAGGAUGAGGAGAUGAAAGGAAAGGAGAGGAAGGCUGAAUGAGCGGUGUCAUACGUACCCAGGGUGGCAGGUAUCCUAGCGGUUAAGAGCAUUGGGUCAGUCAGCGGUUGAGAGCAUUGGUAAUUGAAAGGUCGCUGGUUCGAAUCCCUGAGCCAUCAAGAUGGAAAAAUCUGCCAUUCUACCUUUGAGAAAGGCAGUUAACCCCCAACAACUGCUCCCUGGGUGCCGAUGACGUCGAUUAGUGCAUCCAUCAGCACCUCUCUGAUUCAGGGGGAGUGAGUUAAAUGCGGAAGACACAUUUCCAUUGAAUGCAUUCAGUGCAACUGACUAGGUAGCCCCUAAUACUGGGUGAUAUUAUUUUGGGACAGAGCUUGGACAGUGUUUUUUUAACUUAUACUUUUUUUAAUGUACGUCUGCCAUUUUCAUCUCUGUAUUUCUGUACAUGUUUUUUAUUGUCAUUAUCCUUCCCCCUUGACAACAUAGAAAGGACUGAUUCACAUACGUAACCUGCAUGAUCAGAGGACAGGUAGACAGGUCCUCAUACGUAUGUGGUACCACCCAUUGUGGAAUAAUUUCUGCACAACAGAUAGUGUAACUAAUACCUCACGAGAGAUGGACUUACAUGUAGGGCCGUUCCUCGUUGUGUCACACCCUGAUCUGUUUCACCGGUCUUUGUGAUUGUCUCCACCCCCCUCCAGGUGUCACCUAUCUUCCCCACUAUCCCCUGUGUAUUUCUACCUGUGUUCUCUGUUUGUCUGUUGCCAGUUCGUCUUGUUUGUUCAAGCCAACCAGUAUUUUGUGUCUCAGCUCCUGCCUUUUCCAGUUUCUCGCCUUCUUGGUUUUGACCCUUGCCUGUCCUGUCUCCGAGCCCACCUGCCUGAGCACUCUGCCUGCCCCUGACCGUGAGCCUGCCUGCCAUCCGGUAUUGUUUCCCCACCUCUGGCUGCCUUAACCUGUCUAUUGCCUGCCCCUGUUGAGAUAUUAAACUAUUGUUUAUUUGACGUGGUUUGCAUCUGGGUCUUACCUUCAUACCUGAUGCAAUGAACAAAGAAUAGGUCUCAGUUAACCCAUAGUUUUACUCCAUGAUGUUUUAAACAACAUUCUAACCUGAAGGGGAAAUACGAUCCUGUUGAUAGACUCUUUUGGGGGAGAAUAUCAGCCUGGCUUUGAACUGGUCAAAAUUUCAUCCAUUUAAGUUAAGACCAUGGAGGAUGAAAUGAGCUCAACCUUCUUGCUUAAAAGCAGGGAGUAGAUGUGUGUGAAUACAAAACCACAUUUAUAAAUGUGGAUAUGUUUUUCACCAUGUAGAUACAACCAACUAACAUUCCCCUUUGGAUCACCCUUCCGUGGAUCUCUACUUCAUUAUUUAAGACAUUGUAUGUGUACAGAGAGAACUUGAAUUAGAGAAUGUAAAUAAUAAUCACUCUCACCAUAAGGUCAGGUUAAAUUGUUGACACUUUUGGUAACUUGUUACACAUAUAAACAACACUGGCAAAUAAACUAAUACUUAGACUUAACAAUAAAACAAUACAAGUAUUUUAUUUUUUCAACACAUGUCAUUUAUGAAUUAUGUCUUGAUAAUUAAUUCCCAAAUUGAAAUAAAAUCAGAUUUUCUAGAUUCAUGAUUGUUAGUUCGCUGCUUUUGGAGUGAGGGAAGUGGGUCUCCCUCUGCCAGGAGGUGAGGUUGGACAGGUUGAGGAAGGAGAUGGUCUGGAUGGUCUUUACAAGGCCCUUGUCAUCAGUCAGAACACAACUACUCCCCCUGGAGGACAAGAGAUGGAGGAGAGGGGAGAACAAAGUGGGAAAGGGGUGAAGAGAGAGGAAUAUGAAAAAUAUCAAAAUAAUGAUCGAAGAAUACUGCCAGUUAAACAUGAUGUAAAAUUCUUAAGACUGGACAUACUUAAACAAGGAGUGGACAAUCUUCGCCCCAUUAAUGACUAGUCCAUAAUGUCAUUAAUAGCUUUUUUGUCAUUUCUCCUAGCAUAUAGUGACAGAUGAAAGAAAGAAAGAAUGAUAGAGAUAAAAGGUGUAGAACCUCUCAGACUAUGGUCCACACCCGUUUCCUGACCAGCAUCACAGUGAUAAAGAUAGCCAGGUGACAUGGAAGAUCUGCAGAGAUGAGACAAUAGAAACGGACUGGGGGUGGGUGGUUGUGACUGUGUGCUGGUGUGUGUGUCUGUAAUACUACUAACCAAAGAUGUUGAGGCCACUGGAUGACGAUAUUGUUACCACCACACGGUCCUGUAAUCAAGGUGACAGACAGUGGCAAAUGCAAUACCGCUUUGCACACUCUUGCCUGCAUCUAGCUUAUCCAGGGUGUAUUCAUUAGUUUAAUGGUUGCAAACUAGAGUUUCUACUGGACAAAUUCAGGUAUGUUUAUCGCUGUUUCGUUUUGUUCCGUUUGCUUCUGCUUAAGAAAUGUUUUUCAACAGAAUCAGCGGAAUGAAUACACCCCUGAUCACACGCAAACACAGUUCACUUUCAUAGCAGCCACAAACAAACAGCAUGAUCACUUUGCUUGUUGUAAUUCCUUCUCACAUCUAUGGCUUGUCCUCCUCUCUCACCUUUUUCCUUCACUUGUGGACUUCAGUGCACAACACAUCAGCUGCCUGUGACUAGGUGAAAUAACUUUUCCAAGCCAAACCUUCAUAUCAUAACUGUUAACCGCUACACAACCUACAUUGUUGUCACUAUAUUACAGUGCAUUUGGAAAGUAUUCAGAUUCCUUGACUUUUUCCAACAUUUAUGUCAUUACAGCCUUAUUCGAAAAAUUAUUAAAUAAAACAAAAUGUCCUCAUCAAUCUACACACAAUACCCCACAAUGAAAAAGCGAAAACAGGUUUUAGACAAUUUUGCAAAUUAAUAAAAUAAAAAAACAGAAAUACCUUAUUUCAUAAGUAUUCAGACUCUUUGCUAUGAGACUCGAAAUUAAGCUCAGGUGCAUCCUGUUUCGAUUCAUCAUCCUUGAGAUGUUUCUACAACUUGAUUGGAGUCCACCUGUGGUAAAUUCAAUUGAUUUGACAUUAUUUGGAAAAGCACAAAGUUGUCUAUAUAAGGUCUGACAGUUGACAGUGCAUGUCAG